rnacentral:rRNA from 1 species
AUUGAACGCUAGCGGGAUGCCUUACACAUGCAAGUCGAACGGCGUGGCGAACGGGUGAGUAAUGUAUCGGAACGUGCCCAGUAGCGGGGGAUAACUACGCGAAAGCGUAGCUAAUACCGCAUACUAUUGGAGCGGCCGAUACCGGAUUAGCUAGUUGGGGGGGUAACGGCUCACCAAGGCGACGAUCCGUAGCUGGUUUGAGAGGACGACCAGCCACACUGGAACUGAGACACGGCCCAGACUCCUACGGGAGGCAGCAGUGGGGAAUAUUGGAAAAUGGGGGAAACCCUGAGCCAGCCAUCCCGCGUGUGAGAUGAAGGCCGUCGGGUUGUAAAGUACUUUCAGCGGGGAGGCGUUACCCGCAGAAGAAGCACCGGCUAACUCCGUGCCAGCAGCCGCGGUAAUAC